rnacentral:rRNA from 1 species
AGUCGAACGAUGAAACCGCUUCGGUGGUGGAUUAGUGGCGAACGGGUGAGUAACACGUGGGCAAUCUGCCCUUCACUCUGGGACAAGCCCUGGAAACGGGGUCUAAUACCGGAUAACACUCUGUCCCGCAUGGGACGGGGUUGAAAGCUCCGGCGGUGAAGGAUGAGCCCGCGGCCUAUCAGCUUGUUGGUGGGGUAAUGGCCUACCAAGGCGACGACGGGUAGCCGGCCUGAGAGGGCGACCGGCCACACUGGGACUGAGACACGGCCCAGACUCCUACGGGAGGCAGCAGUGGGGAAUAUUGCACAAUGGGCGAAAGCCUGAUGCAGCGACGCCGCGUGAGGGAUGACGGCCUUCGGGUUGUAAACCUCUUUCAGCAGGGAAGAAGCGAAAGUGACGGUACCUGCAGAAGAAGCGCCGGCUAACUACGUGCCAGCAGCCGCGGUAAUACGUAGGGCGCAAGCGUUGUCCGGAAUUAUUGGGCGUAAAGAGCUCGUAGGCGGCUUGUCACGUCGGAUGUGAAAGCCCGGGGCUUAACCCCGGGUCUGCAUUCGAUACGGGCUAGCUAGAGUGUGGUAGGGGAGAUCGGAAUUCCUGGUGUAGCGGUGAAAUGCGCAGAUAUCAGGAGGAACACCGGUGGCGAAGGCGGAUCUCUGGGCCAUUACUGACGCUGAGGAGCGAAAGCGUGGGGAGCGAACAGGAUUAGAUACCCUGGUAGU